UUGUAUUUUUAGUAGAGAUGGGGUUUCACCAUGUUGGCCAGGCUGGUCUGGAACUCCUGACCUCAGGUGAUUCACCUGCCUCGGCCUCCCAAAGUGCUGGGAUUGCAGGGGUGAGCCACCAUGCCCGGUCCUUUAAGUCUUAAGAACAGGGAUCUAACAUCUGUAACAACAAAAACAUUGAAAAAGACAAACAUAUUUACUGAGGGAGGACUUUUGCUAGCAAUUUUCCUGGAAGAUGCAAUGCAGAAACCCCCAAACAAACCUGGAAUGAGAUCUGAGCUGCGUCAUCAGGCCAGUGUCACACCGUCAUUUAUGUGUCCUCCUCGAGCAGUGCAAGUCUAUCAUCCUGGGUGCGGGAAUGGAACAUAACUAUUUGGGGAGAUGUUAAAUGGAAGUGUUAGCUUCCCUCCAUAAGAGCUCACUUAAAUUUUUUUUUUAAAUUGAAAUCAAAUCCAGAAACCAUAAAAAUGUCCCAUUUUAAAGUGUACAUUCACAAGGUUGCAUAACCACCACAAUGAUCUAAUUCCAGGACAUUUUAUCACCCCAAAAAGUAGUCGCUG
rnacentral:lncRNA from 1 species